AUCCGCGAUAGGUGUGAUGUCCUGGAAUGGUAUCACGCCCAAAGGUGUUCGCACGCCUAAGGAUGGGGCUGCGGCCGAUCAGGCAGUUGGUGAGGUAACGGCUCACCAAACCUUUGACCGGUACGGGCCAUGAGAGUGGUAGCCCGGAGAUGGACACUGAGACAAGGGUCCAGGCCCUACGGGGCGCAGCAGGCGCGAAACCUCCUCAAUGCACACACGUGCGAAGGGGUUACCUCGAGUGCCGCCUGAAGAAGGCGGCUUUUCCAUGGUCUAAAAAGCCUAGGGAAUAAGAGGGGGGCAAGACUGGUGUCAGCCGCCGCGGUAACACCAGCCCCUCGAGUGGUAGGGAUGAUUAUUUGGCCUAAAGCGUCCGUAGCCGGCCGGAUAAGUCUUCCGUUAAAUCCAGCGUCUCAAGCGUUGGACUGCGGGAGAUACUGUCUGGCUAGAGAGUGGGAGAGGUCAGCGGUAUUCUGGGGGUAGGGGCGAAAUCCAUUGAUCCCCGGAGGACCACCAGUGGCGAAGGCUGCUGUCCAGAACACGUCUGACGGUCAGGGACGAAAGCUGGGGUAGCGAACCGGAUUAGAUACCCGGGUAGUCCCAGCCGUAAACGAUGCA
rnacentral:rRNA from 1 species